rnacentral:rRNA from 1 species
AGUGAACGCUGGCGGUAGGCCUAACACAUGCAAGUCGAACGGCAGCACAGUAAGAGCUUGCUCUUACGGGUGGCGAGUGGCGGACGGGUGAGGAAUACAUCGGAAUCUACUUUUUCGUGGGGGAUACCGUAGGGAAACUUACGCUAAUACCGCAUACGACCUACGGGUGAAAGCAGGGGAUCUUCGGACCUUGCGCGAUUGAAUGAGCCGAUGUCGGAUUAGCUAGUUGGCGGGGUAAAGGCCCACCAAGGCGACGAUCCGUAGCUGGUCUGAGAGGAUGAUCAGCCACACUGGAACUGAGACACGGUCCAUACGCCUACGGGAGGCAGCAGUGGGGAAUAUUGGACAAUGGGCGCAAGCCUGAUCCAGCCAUACCGCGUGGGUGAAGAAGGCCUUCGGGUUGUAAAGCCCUUUUGUUGGGAAAGAAAAGCAGCAGGUUAAUACCCCGCUGUUCUGACGGUACCCAAAGAAUAAGCACCGGCUAACUUCGUG